GCGGCCAUAGAACCUUGAAAGCACCGCAUCCCGUCUGAUCUGCGAAGUUAAGCAAGGUAUCGCCUAGUCAGUACUGCGGUGGGGGACCAAUUGAAGAUUAUUAAGGCUGUACGCU